UNNNCGGNGGCUACACAUGCAGUCGAGCGGAUGAAGAGAGCUUGCUCUCUGAUUCAGCGGCGGACGGGUGAGUAAUGCCUAGGAAUCUGCCUGAUAGUGGGGGACAACGUUUCGAAAGGAACGCUAAUACCGCAUACGUCCUACGGGAGAAAGCAGGGGACCUUCGGGCCUUGCGCUAUCAGAUGAGCCUAGGUCGGAUUAGCUAGUUGGUGAGGUAAUGGCUCACCAAGGCGACGAUCCGUAACUGGUCUGAGAGGAUGAUCAGUCACACUGGAACUGAGACACGGUCCAGACUCCUACGGGAGGCAGCAGUGGGGAAUAUUGGACAAUGGGCGAAAGCCUGAUCCAGCCAUGCCGCGUGUGUGAAGAAGGUCUUCGGAUUGUAAAGCACUUUAAGUUGGGAGGAAGGGCAUUAACCUAAUACCUUAGUGUUUUGACGUUACCGACAUAAUAAGCACCGGCUAACUUCAUGCCAGCAGCCGCGGUAAUACGAAGGGUGCAAGCGUUAAUCGGAAUUACUGGGCGUAAAGCGCGCGUAGGUGGUUUGUUAAGUUGAAUGUGAAAGCCCCGGGCUCAACCUGGGAACUGCAUCCAAAACUGGCAAGCUANAGUAUGGCAGAGGGUGGUGGAAUUUCCUGUGUAACGGUGAAAUGCGUAGAUAUAGGAAGGAACACCAGUGGCGAAGGCGACCACCUGGGCUAAUACUGACGCUGAGGUGCGAAAGCGUGUGCAGCAAACAGGAUUAGAUACCCUGGUAGUCCACGCCGUAAACGAUGUCUACUAGCCGUUGGGAUCCUUGAUAUCUUAUGACUCACUAACGCAUUAAGUCGACCGCCUGGGUAGUACGCCACGAGGUUAAAACUCAAGNAAUUGNCCGGAA
rnacentral:rRNA from 2 species